AAGGAGCAUCUAGCUGCCGCAAGGCAGCCAGAGCCACUACGUCGGCGAAUGAUCGACGGUGGUUAGCUCAUGGGUGGAACGUUGACUACUCGGCACACUUGACCUUCUGGUCUUCCUAGUACUGCUUCGGCGUGGAACGGAACGGCUGGGUGGCGAGGGUGUCGGGCACGCUGUUGGGUAUCUGAGGGAGCGAUUAACCCCUCAGUUGCCGGCCCCAGUGCACUCGGACCUGUUGGUUCGGGGUGAUGGGUGGCUGGUCGUUG
rnacentral:misc_RNA from 1 species